rnacentral:misc_RNA from 1 species
GAUUGAAGAACGUAGCGAAAUGCGAUAAGUAAUGUGAAUUGCAGAAUUCAGUGAAUCAUCGAAUCUUUGAACGCACAUUGCGCCCCUUGGUAUUCCGAGGGGCAUGCCUGUUCGAGCGUCAUUAUAACCCCUCAAGCUCAGCUUGGUGUUGGGGCCUGCUGCACUGGCAGCCCUUAAAAUCAGUGGCGGCGCCAUCUGGCUCUAAGCGUAGUAAUUCUUCUCGCUAUGGAGUCCUGGUGGAUGCUUGCCAUCAACCCCCAAUUUUUCUAUGGUUGACCUCGGAUCAGGUAGGGAUACCCGCUGAACUUAAGCAUAUCAAUAAGCGGAGGA